rnacentral:lncRNA from 1 species
CAUUUUUUACAAAGCAUUAAAAAACACAAAUUCUUACAUUGUGUCUCUAUUAUACAUCAAACUCCAGAAACCAAUAAUAAACAAUGAAAAAGAUAUCAAUCAAGAAUUAUUCCUUGAACUGAUUUAGCUGCAAGGAGAUUUUCCAUUCCAUGAUUCAUAUUCAUCUUUCACCAUUCACAUUCUUAGAAGUAUCGCUACCAACAACUGGAAGCAUUGCUAGCUAUGGCUGCCUGCUUACACAAUGAAGUGCCUCACUUAGCUUUCACUUUCAACUCUCACAAUGAUAUGGACAUUUCAAUUAGCAAAAGCAUUCUAGUAUUUGCAAUAUCAUAAUCAUUGAAAUCAGUUAUUACUAUCUAGAAUGAUUCAAUGAAAAAUACAACUUUCUAAAACAUGCAUUGUGAACGAAAAAAAAAGAAGAAAACAGAACAAAAAGAGCACCUGCAGAGCAAUAUUGUCCAAAAAAUAUAGUUAAACUAGUUCCAGCAAAGGAGAAAAAUAGGGAAAGAACAAAAGGAAGAAAUUAAAUAAUUCCAAACAAAAAGAACAAUUAGAGUUCUCUUUCAAGGCACACAAUGAAAAAAAGUAUGCAAUUUAAGACUCCUAAUUGUAUUCUGAAAAUUCUGCAAUUUAAACUCCUAAUUGUAUAUCAUAUUAAUUUUGACAAAACUAAGUAAUAGAAAAAGAAGAAGAAUAUAUAUAUGAGAUUCAUAAAAGUUUCAUACCGAUUGUGCAGUUCCAAAUCUUGGUCAUAUACUAGUGCUUUCUUUCUCUUCACGUAUUUUAAAUGACUCAAGCUUUUC